rnacentral:lncRNA from 1 species
AUGAAUCUCAAAGAUUUUCUAGCUGAGAAGAAUUGUAUAAACAAGGCAUGUCAAAAUUCUCUAACAAACAAAUUUUGUCUUGGUUUCCAGCAUUUACGGACACGUGGAGGAUGUAAUCAGGCAUUAUAUACUUCAGUAUGGUGCAUCAACUUUGGGGGGCAAAAGCAGAAGUCAUUACCUCUAAGAUUUCAAGUACUUUAUCAAGGCAGCAUAAUUAAACAACAGCAAGAAAUUUUUUUGUGUGUCAAACAGCCAUGGAAGAAUGGAUUUGAACAUGUAGCCAGGAGCGGUAUGGCCAGGAACGGAACCCAACGUUAGAGUCUUGGACAAGAAGGUGUUAGCAGAUAUGGAUGAGGAUCAGAGGUGGGAUCACACAUGAGCCAAUUAUGAGGAUCAGAUCAAGAUGGGGGAAUGAACAUAUGCUUAGUACAGAGCAUGAGGGUGAGAACCAGGAGUGGGAAAUGGGUCAGUAACAGGAAGUCAAUGGAAAGACAUAGGUAGAAUCCAAAGAUUUAAGCAGAAUAAUCAACCUAAUGGUCAAAUCUGAUAAAAGUCACAGGGGCAAGUUGUACAAAUGAGAACUUUGUACUCAUAUGAGGGUCAAAAAAAUUUGGAGAGUUGUCAUGGAGAAUCACAGACAUGAUUCUGCUUCACAUGAUGGGGUGGCUGCUGCUGUCGUUCAUUCAUACUCUCUCUGGGCUUUUUGCCUCACUUCUUUCCCUCACUGGCCCCUCUUGUAAUAAGGGAUACAUGUUUGUUUAUUUAGAGCCCAACUUCUCCCAUGAAAGAUUUGAGAAUGUUAAUAGGAAACACACAAAAUAAAAUUGUUAAAUAUAAGUUUUAAAGCCA